GUUUGGUUUUCGUAUUUUUAUGUUUUUCCUUAACACCAUGUGUCAGUUAUGAAUGACCACAUAUAGAAGAUAUACAUACAUUUGGAUCACAGCGCUGAAUAUACAUCAAUAACGGACUAUACAAAGUGGUACGACUAUACAGCUGUUCAAAUAAUUUGGGAUGUCAGGGCAAGGUAUAUCCAUUUUGCCUGCCCGUCUCUUUACCUGCUCGCGUGUGUGUAUGUGUUCAUUAAAUAUGACAACAGUUAAGUUGUACAGUAUGUGUUGACGCCUUGUUGUUGCACUUCAACGUUAAUCCGGCUUUGGUCCUAAAAGCUGAUGUGGCAUCUCACGUCUAGGCUCACUGACCCCGGGUCAGUGCUACAGCGAGGUCAAGAGGGAAUUUCUGAGUGAUUCUGAUUCCAGAGCUAUUUAGCGCCUUUUGAGGAUCAGUUUGUUUAUUGUGAAAUUGAGUUCUCCACUGGUAAUGACGCAGUCAUAACGAGAGCUGGCGGGCGGUAGUUAAGAUGCCAAAGACUUCAAUAGUCUGCGGACUCGUUUUAAUAAAGUGGUUGCUAGCAGCAACAACCCCUGGACCCGGAGUCAUAAACGGCGUCAAUUAUUAAUGCACUUGCACACAGGCUGGGAAGCGACAGGCACCGACAAGGACUAGAAGUACACUGAUCUCACAUAAUGGAGGAGAGAGAGGUGCGCGUAGCCUCAGCAGCCCCGAGCUUCUCAAAGAGCUGAAGCAGCCACACCCACUCAAGCAUGUCUCCGCCCACAAGGGCCUGACCACUGUCUUCUCUGGGCGGGGCAAGACUCCAUCACCAAGCACUACCACCAGUCAUGGAGGAGAGAAGCCUCAGGGCUUGUCCAAUGGAAUGAAGCAUUAAAGAUGUGCUGUUAAGCCAUUGGAUGUAGAAGGUGCCAUUCAUCUGUGUCAGACAGACACUGCAUGCUCAACUCCUCUGCCAUAGUCAUGCUUCCAUACUCACACAUCACAUCCUAUGCUAUGUCCGCCACACUCCUUAGUAGUAUAUACAGUAUGUAUCAUGUAAAAGCACACUGUUCUGGAAUGUAGAUGACUGUGAUGUUUAUAUGUUUACUGGAUAGAUGGUUUAGCUUUUGAAAGUGACAUCAGACAUAAGGGCAUAUGAAUGUGAGAUGUAUUUGUAUAAGGUGUGUGUGUGUAUUUGUAUAAGGUGUGUGUGUGUGUGUGUGUGUGUGUGUGUGUGUGUGUGUGUGUGUGUGUGUGUGUGUGUGUGUGUGUGUGUGUGUGUGUGUGUGUGAAAAUCCUGUGUCGCUGCUCAGCCUUCCUCAAUAAGCUAAUGCAUCAGCACUUAUAAUAAAACAUGACUUACUUAUAUUACAACAUUGGACUGAUUGGUCUUCAGCUGUGUGUGUGUGUGUGUGUCUCCGGUCAUACUGUGUAAGUGUAAGUACAGUACAUCUGCUGUAUUGUACAGGUGUGUGUGUGUGUGUUUAUGUCUGUGUGUCUAUUCUCUACUAUUCUUUUUCUGUCUCUCAGUGACUAUUUUCAACUGUAAAUCUGUGUGUAUGAGAGUGUGAGCAUGUUCUAUAUCAUACAGGAAUGUGUGUGUGUGCAGGGAUGGAUUACCGAACAGGCCUACCAUGAGCUCAGGGGGCCCCUAAGCCAGAGCCUCUGCGUGAAGUCGCUGUUAUGUAUCUCUUAUUUGUGGUUGAAAGAGGUGUAUUUUGCUAAUUUGCUGUCGGCUUUAAUUGAUGGUACCUGCGCUGUGUUAGAAAAUAUGCAUGUGCGCCAGGGGCAUAACUAUAGACAAUGCAGCCAGCGCGGAGGGUUCAUAGGCAAAGGAGGCCAUGCCUUAUUGCUUUUCUUCUAUAUGGCUGUCAGAGUGUUGCUAGUAAAUGCGACUGUGAUCAACAAUGAAUUUGUUUUGAAUUCUUUACGACACCUUAUGCUAUAUAUUAUGCCCUCGAAAUGGCAAACCUGUCUCUGUCAUGGUUUUCAUCAUUUUUGGGGGAAGUAGCUAUCUAUAACAUAAUGAUAUGCUUAUCCUAAAUAAACGAU
ensembl:lncRNA